AUAACAGUAAUUCAUGGAAUUUAUUUUAAUGACAGGGAACAUCAUCUAACUUUGUCAAUUGGCUGUACCACUUUCUACAAGGAGACAACUAUUAUUUUGAUCCUUGUCACAUCAUAUCUGAAGCAAUAUUAACAGCAGGUAAUAAAUUAUCCAAUUAUUCCAACAAAAUCCUUUUCACUAUAAGAAAAAAAAGCAUUUUUGUUUCAGCAUAUAAAAGACCAUGUCAAGUAUCUCACUCUAGUUUGGAGUGACUGAAAUAGUAUGGGGAAUCUCCCCAAUGAAGUCAAUCAGUAAACACGCUGAUCUUUCUAAUAACUAUUACUUUAGAAUUCAAUUUUCUGUUACAAGUUAUUCAUUAUAUUAAAGUACCUUAACACUUCUAACACUUCGAGCUGGAUAAUUUUUUGUUAUGGGAGAUUAUCCUGUGCACUGUAAGAUAUUUAGCAGCAUCUCUAAUUUCUACCUACUAGGUGCCAGUAGCACACCCCAAGGUGAUAACCAAAAAUGUCUCUACACAUUGGCAAAUGUUACCUGGGGAUGGGGCUGGAGGGAUAUAAAAUUGCCCCAGUUGAGAAAUACUACACAGAACAAUAAUUCCAGGAAAAGGAUAGAAUCAUCCAGAUGAUUAUUUUUAAAAGCAAACUUUUAACCUACCAACUAUAGAACAAUUUAUAUUCCAUAAAUGCUUCUUAGUUAACAUAGCAGCUAAGCCUUUGAUGGUUCACCUUCUGGAUAUUUACCUUAUCAUCUAAUCUAUUAUCAUACUACAAAAACAAGGCUUAUAUCUAAAAGCAAAUUGUGGCCAGGUGCAGUGCCUCACACCUGUAAUCCCAGCACUUUGUGAGGCUGAGGCAGGUGGAUCACCUGAGGUCAGGAGUUCGAGACCAGCCUGACCAACAUGGUGACACCUCGUCUCUACUAAAUACAAAAAAUUAGUCAGGCGUGAUGGUGCAUGCCUGUAAUCCCAGCUACUUGGGAGGGUGAGGCAGGAGAAUUGCUUGAAGCCAGGAGGCAGAGGUUGCAGUGAGCCAAGAUUGUGCCAUUGCACUCCAGCCUGAGCAACAACAGCAAAACUCAAAAAAAAAAAAAAAAAAAAAAGCAAAAAGUGAACUGUGACAUGAUACACAUUUCAGUAACUAGUAUAACCAAAACAAUAUUCACAUAAGACAUAUGAUUAAAAUUAAAACUCUUUUAUUCAAUCUUUUUUUUCCCUUGUCUAUAAGGCAGAAAAAAAGGGUGACAAGGAAUAGGCAAAGCAUGUUAUUUCCUUAACUUACAUAAUUACAAUCCAGUACCACUCUACCCUGCACGCUACUUUUCUACACUAUGCUUCCUCCUUCUCAUUCUUAUUCAGUGAGAAAAAUGUCAAAUAAUUUUAGAACAGAUUUUAAGGUUAAACUGUAUUAACUUCUAAGAGACCUUCAUUUUACUUACAGAUAGUCAUGUACACAAGCAACCAAUACAUUUAUUUAAAGUUAUGGCUAGAAUUAACAGCUCUUAUGAAUACAAUGUGCCCACAAAAACUCACUAUUGAAGGUUUUAAAACCAAAAAACUUCAUACCACCACAUUUUUACACACAUUAAAUAAGAAAAUAUAACCUGGAAAGAAAACAAGUUUUAAAAUAGUAUUUUAGGGCCAUUUCAUUCACCCAAACAUUUGCUGAAUUUCUAUUGUGUAUCCAGAAUUGUUCUAAGGGGGUGUGUGUGUUUAUGCUAGAAGAAUACAGCAGUAAACAAGACAAGAGUCCUUGCCCUCAUAGAGCUUACAUUCUAAUAGGGAAAAGACCAUUAGCAAAUACAUAAUAUAAUUUCAGAUAUAUGCUAAGAAGAAAUUAAAAGCAGCAUACAGGAUAGGCAGUGAUUUGGGAGAGAAAGACCAUAGUUUAGAUAAAAUGGUGAGGAAAAUCUUCCCUGAGAAGAUAACUUUUGAGCAGCACUGAAUGAUAAGAAGGGAUAAGCAGUUCACCCUCUUUAUAAUCCAAUUCUAAAAGGCCAUGAGGAAUGAGCUUGGCUUUUUGAAUAAUUUAUCAAGGAUGCUGGUGUAGCUAAAUCAGGAGACAAGUAGGAUACCAGUAGGUAACAUGGGUGAAGAACUAGGGAGGCAAGAGACUGCAUACAAUCUUACAGAUCAGGAGAAAGGGUCUGGAUUUUACUCUAAGUGUAAAGGGAAACUAUGGGAGAGAUUUAAGCAAAUAAGUAAGACAAUAUUUUACUUGCAAUGAUUACCCUCACUGCUGUGUAGAGAAUACAUGUAGAAUAGAAACAAGGAGACUAGUAAUCUCAGGCCAAGAGCUGAGGCUGGCUUAGACUUAUACUACAUUUAGCAAGAGUAAGAUUAAGAUCUUUUAAGGCUUGUUUCUAAGACAUCAUUUACUUUUUUUUUUUUUUUUUUUUGAGACGGAGUCUCGCUCUGUCGCCCAGGCUGGAGUGCAGUGGAGUGAUCUCUGCUCACUGUUAACUUCCGCCUCCUUGUUCAAACGAUUCUCCUUAGCCUCCAAGUAUCUGGGAUUACAGGCGCACGCCACCACACCCAGCUAAUUUUUGUAUUUUUAGUAGAGACAGGGUUUCACCAUGUUGGCCAGGCUGGUCUGGAACUCCUGACUUCAGGUGAUCCACCCGCGUGGCCUCCCAAAGUGCUGGGAUUACAGGCGUGACCCACCACGCCCAGCCCUAAGAUAUCAUUUACUUUCAAGAGACCUGCUGACUAUUAAAUAAGCUCACUGUCUUCCACAAUCCCUAAGAGUAUACUGAUAUCUCUUAAUUAACAAUCCAGAUUAAUUUUAAUUAAAAAUAAAAUCAUAGAUGGGCAGAGUGGCUCGUGUCUGUAAUCCCAGCACUUGGGGAGGCUGACACAGACUGAUCACUUGAGAUCAGGAGUUCAAGACCAGCCUCGCCAACAUGGUGAAACCUGAUCUCUACUAAAAAUACAAAAAUUAUCUGAUCGUGGUGGUGCACGCCUGUAAUCCCAGCUAUUCUGGAGGUUGAGGCACAAGAAUCGCGUGAACCUGGGAGGUGGAAGUUGCAGUGAGCCGAGACUGCGCCAAUGCGCUCCAGCCUGAAUGACACAGUAAGACUCUGUCUCAAAAUAAAUAAAAUAAAAUAAAACAAAAUAAAAUCAUACUAAAAUACUUUUAGAUUCAAAGGGCCAGAUGAAGCACAGGACUUAUCUGCUAAAAUGACGAUAAAAGCAUUUUAAUUUACUAUUAUUUUUUAAGAGACAGGGUCUCACUGCUGCCCAGGCUGGAGUACAGUGGCUAUUCAC
rnacentral:lncRNA from 10 species